rnacentral:rRNA from 1 species
GUCUACAGCUAUGCUACCCUGAACAAGCCCGAUCCCGUCUGAUUUCGGAAGCUAAGCAGGGUCGGGCCUGGUUAGUAUUUGGAUGAGAGACCACCUAGGAAAACCAUGUGCUGUAGGCG